rnacentral:rRNA from 1 species
CUACGUGCCAGCAGCCGCGGUAAUACGUAGGUGGCAAGCGUUGUCCGGAUUUAUUGGGCGUAAAGCGAGUGCAGGCGGUUCAAUAAGUCUGAUGUGAAAGCCUUCGGCUCAACCGGAGAAUUGCAUCAAAAACUGUUGAACUUGAGUGCAGAAGAGGAGAGUGGAACUCCAUGUGUAGCGGUGGAAUGCGUAGAUAUAUGGAAGAACACCAGUGGCGAAGGCGGCUCUCUGGUCUGCAACUGACGCUGAGGCUCGAAAGCAUGGGUAGCG